GCCUUCUUGGUGUAAUGGUCAGCACACUGAGCCGGUAUUUCAGAGGUCCGCGGUUCGAUUCCCGGCGAAGGCG
rnacentral:tRNA from 1 species